rnacentral:rRNA from 1 species
CCUACGGGAGGCAGCAGUGAGGAAUAUUGGUCAAUGGGCGGGAGCCUGAACCAGCCAAGUCGCGUGAGGGAAGACGGUCCUAUGGAUUGUAAACCUCUUUAGGCGGGGAGCAAUGCCGGGCACGUGUGCCCGGAGGGAGAGUACCCGCAGAAUAAGCAUCGGCUAAUUCCGUGCCAGCAGCCGCGGUAAUAAGGAGGAUGCGAGCGUCAUCCGGAUUGAUUGGGUUAAAGGGGUGCGUAGGCGGAUUUUUAAGUCAGCGGUAAAAUGUCGGGGCUCAACCCGGGCCGGCCGUUGAAACUGGGGAUCUUGAGUGGGCGAGAAGUAUGCGGAAUGCGUGGUGUAGCGGUGAAAUGCAUAGAUAUCACGCAGAACUCCGAUUGCGAAGGCAGCAUACCGGCGCCCGACUGACGCUGAGGCACGAAAGCGUGGGGAUCGAACAGGAUUAGAUACCCCAGUAGUC